rnacentral:rRNA from 1 species
UACGGAGGGUGCGAGCGUUGUCCGGAAUCAUUGGGCGUAAAGGGCGCGUAGGUGGCCCGGUCAGUUCGUGGUGAAAGCGCGGGGCUCAACCCUGCGUCGGCCAUGAAUACUGCCGCGGCUGGAGCACUGUAGAGGCAGGCGGAAUUCCGGGUGUAGCGGUGGAAUGCGUAGAGAUCCGGAAGAACACCGGUGGCGAAGGCGGCC